rfam:Triticum aestivum genome assembly, contig: Triticum_aestivum_CS42_TGACv1_scaffold_290448_4AL
AUCUUACUUCCUCCGUUUGGAAUUACUUGCCACAAAAAUGGUUGUAUCUAUAACUAAAAUACAUCUAGAUACAUUCAUUUUUUGGACGAGUAAUUCCGAACGGAGGGAGUAGAAU